CCUACGGGAGGCAGCAGUGGGGAAUUUUGGACAAUGGGCGCAAGUCUGAUCCAGCCAUGCCGCGUGUGGGAAGAAGGCCUUCGGGUUGUAAACCACUUUUGUCAGGGAAGAAACGGUUUGUCCUAAUACGGCGGACUAAUGACGGUACCUGAAGAAUAAGCACCGGCUAACUACGUGCCAGCAGCCGCGGUAAUACGUAGGGUGCAAGCGUUAAUCGGAAUUACUGGGCGUAAAGCGUGCGCAGGCGGCUUUGCAAGACAGAUGUGAAAUCCCCGGGCUCAACCUGGGAACUGCAUUUGUGACUGCAUGGCUAGAGUACGGUAGAGGGGGAUGGAAUUCCGCGUGUAGCAGUGAAAUGCGUAGAUAUGCGGAGGAACACCGAUGGCGAAGGCAAUCCCCUGGACCUGUACUGACGCUCAUGCACGAAAGCGUGGGGAGCAAACAGGAUUAGAUACCCUGGUAGUCCACGCCCUAAACGAUGUCAACUGGUUGUUGGACGGCUUGCUGUUCAGUAACGAAGCUAACGCGUGAAGUUGACCGCCUGGGGAGUACGGCCGCAAGGUUGAAACUCAAAUGAAAUUGACGG
rnacentral:rRNA from 1 species